rnacentral:piRNA from 1 species
UGACUCAGAUGGGACCCUAAGUAGCCAA